UACGUAGGGUGCAAGCGUUAAUCGGAAUUACUGGGCGUAAAGCGCACGCAGGCGGUUCGCCAAGUUUGGCGUGACAGUUGUCGGCUCAACCGACAAAGGACUUCAAAAACUGGUGAACUUGAGGACGAGAGAGGAACAUGGAACUCCAGGUGUAGUAGUGAAAUGCGUAGAUAUCUGGAAGAACACCAAAGGCGAAGGCAAUGUUCUGGCUCGUUUCUGACGCUCAGGUGCGAAAGCCAGGGGAGCGAACGGG
rnacentral:rRNA from 1 species